GGCCUUCUAGCUCAGUUGGUUAGACGCGUGGUGCUAAUAACGCCAAGGUCAUCAGUUCGAUCCUGAUGAAGGCAACA
rnacentral:tRNA from 1 species